rnacentral:rRNA from 1 species
UACGAAGGGGGCUAGCGUUGUUCGGAAUUACUGGGCGUAAAGCGCACGUAGGCAGACUAUUAAGUCAGGGGUGAAAUCCCGGGGCUCAACCCCGGAACUGCCUUUGAUACUGGUAGUCUCGAGUCCGGAAGAGGUGAGUGGAAUUCCGAGUGUAGAGGUGAAAUUCGUAGAUAUUCGGAGGAACACCAGUGGCGAAGGCGGCUCACUGGUCCGGUACUGACGCUGAGGUGCGAAAGCGUGGGGAGCAAACAGG